UACGUAGGGGGCAAGCGUUGUCCGGAAUCAUUGGGCGUAAAGAGCGUGUAGGCGGCUCGGUAAGUCCGCUGUGAAAGUCCAGGGCUCAACCCUGGAAUGCCGGUGGAAACUGUCGAGCUAGAGGGUGGUAGAGGCGAGUGGAAUUCCCGGUGUAGCGGUGAAAUGCGCAGAUAUCGGGAGGAACACCAGUAGCGAAGGCGGCUCGCUGGGCCAUUCCUGACGCUGAGACGCGAAAGCUAGGGGAGCGAACAGG
rnacentral:rRNA from 1 species